CUCUAAACCUUUUCCUUCUAUAAUGGCGACCGGUUUCGUUCCUUUAUCAAUCUCAGGUGGAUCUCAAUUGAAGGCACAUGAGCUUUGGUUCUCAAAGUCCAAUUCAUUUGUAAAAACAACAAAACUGGUAGUUCAAAGGAAGUCAAACCAGGUGGGAAACCGCAAGUUGUCUGUUCGUGCAGAAUACAAUGAUGGUAGUAGGGGCAGUGGCAGCGAUUUUGUUGCAGGAUUUCUUUUAGGAGGCGCCAUAUUUGGAACUUUAGCUUAUAUUUUUGCUCCUCAGAUAAGAAGAUCCCUGCUGAAUGAAGAUGAAUAUGGGUUCCGGCGGGCCAAGCGACCAAUAUAUUAUGACGAAGGUUUAGAGAUGACCAGGCAGACCUUGAAUGCAAAGAUCAGCCAACUGAAUUCUGCUAUCGACAAUGUAUCUUCACGUUUGAGAGGCGGCAAUAGUUCACCUCCUAUGCCUGUCGAAACUGAUCCUGAGGUAGAAGUUAGCAUGUGAGAUUUGUUUAUGUUUCUUCAUUAUAAUCUCUCAGACCAAAUACUGUUUGAAAAACAGAUAUGGUUGUAUUUAUCGGGGGUUUAGCUUCUUCUUGUUUAACUGAGAAUACAAGUGUUAUAGUUAGCAUUAUAGCAGCAUACAACACUGGCAUUUUUCAUGUAGACUUGAGAGUUUGAGGGUUUAUAAUAGCCUCCAAGUCUGUUCUCUUUUUUUUUUUUUUUUUUUUUU
rnacentral:misc_RNA from 1 species